UUUUAUAAUAAAAUUAUUGAAAUAAAUUAGAAUUUUUGUUCUCUAGUUUUUAGCAAUUCUUGAUAUACUGUAUCGUGUUGAAGAGAGAAAUUUACACCACAUAUAUAUAUGGCUCUUCUAAUGUUGAUUUUUAUAGAAGAGGAUGGAUUCACUAAAUCAUUCAUGAAAUGUUUUUAGCAAUUCUUGAUAUACUGUAUUGUGUUGAAGAGAGAAAUUUACACCACAUAUAUAUAUGGCUCUUCUAAUGUUGAUUUUUAUAGAAGAGGAUGGAUUCACUAAAUCAUUCAUGAAAUGAACCUUCAGUGGAUAAGUAAAGGGAAGAUAGUAAUUCUACAUUAUGUUAG